rnacentral:rRNA from 1 species
AUUGAACGCUGGCGGCAUGCCUUACACAUGCAAGUCAAACGGCAGCACGGGAGCAAUCCUGGUGGCGAGUGGCGAACGGGUGAGUAAUAUAUCGGAACGUGCCCAGUCGUGGGGGAUAACGCAGCGAAAGCUGUGCUAAUACCGCAUACGAUCUACGGAUGAAAGCGGGGGAUCGCAAGACCUCGCGCGAUUGGAGCGGCCGAUAUCAGAUUAGCUAGUUGGUGAGGUAAAGGCUCACCAAGGCGACGAUCUGUAGCUGGUCUGAGAGGACGACCAGCCACACUGGAACUGAGACACGGUCCAGACUCCUACGGGAGGCAGCAGUGGGGAAUUUUGGACAAUGGGCGAAAGCCUGAUCCAGCAAUGCCGCGUGCAGGAUGAAGGCCUUCGGGUUGUAAACUGCUUUUGUACGGAACGAAACGGUGAGCUCUAAUACAGUUCGCUAAUGACGGUACCGUAAGAAUAAGCACCGGCUAACUACGUGCCAGCCGCCGCAGUAA